AUUGAACGCUGGCGGCAGGCCUAACACAUGCAAGUCGAACGAGUGGCGGACGGGUGAGUAAUGUCUGGGAAACUGCCUGAUGGAGGGGGAUAACUACUGGAAACGGUAGCUAAUACCGCAUACCAUCAGAUGUGCCCAGAUGGGAUUAGCUAGUUGGGGGGGUAACGGCUCACCAAGGCGACGCUCCCUAGCUGGGCUGAGAGGAUGACCAGACACACGUGAACUUGGACACGGUCCCACUUCCUACGUGAGGAAGCAGUGGGGAAUAUUGCACAAUGGGCGCAAGCCUGAUGCAGCCAUGCCGCUUGUAUGAAGAAGGCCUUCGGGUUGUAAAGUACUUUCAGCGGGGAGGCGUUACCCGCAGAAGAAGCACCGGCUAACUCCGUGCCAGCAGCCGCGGUAAUAC
rnacentral:rRNA from 1 species